rnacentral:rRNA from 1 species
GACGAACGCUGGCGGCGUGCCUAAUACAUGCAAGUCGAGCGGACGAAUCGAAAGCUUGCUUUUGAUUCGUUAGCGGCGGACGGGUGAGUAACACGUGGGCAACCUGCCCUGUAGACGGGGAUAACACCGAGAAAUCGGUGCUAAUACCGGAUAACACGAAAUGUCGCAUGACGUUUCGUUGAAAGACGGCGCAAGCUGCCGCUACAGGAUGGGCCCGCGGCGCAUUAGCUAGUUGGUGAGGUAACGGCUCACCAAGGCGACGAUACGUAGCCGACCUGAGAGGGUGAUCGGCCACACUGGGACUGAGACACGGCCCAGACUCCUACGGGAGGCAGCAGUAGGGAAUCUUCCGCAAUGGACGAAAGUCUGACGGAGCAACGCCGCGUGAGCGAAGAAGGCCUUCGGGUCUUAAAGCUCUGUUGUUAGGGAAGAACAAGUAACGCAGUAACUGGCGUUACCGUGACGGUACCUAACGAGAAAGCCACGGCUAACUACGUG